rnacentral:rRNA from 1 species
UGGGGAAUUUUGGACAAUGGCGAAAGCCUGAUCCAGCAAUGCCGCGUGUGUGAAGAAGGCCUUCGGGUUGUAAAGCACUUUUUGUCCGGAAAGAAAUCCUUGGCUCUAAUACAGUCGGGGGAUACGGUACCGGAAGAAUAAGCACCGGCUAACUACGUGCCAGCAGCCGCGGUAAUACGUAGGGUGCAAGCGUUAAUCGGAAUUACUGGGCGUAAAGCGUGCGCAGGCGGUUUGCUAAGACCGAUNUGAAAUCCCCGGGCUCAACCUGGGAACUGCAUUGGUGACUGGCAGGCUAGAGUAUGGCAGAGGGGGGUAGAAUUCCACGUGUAGCAGUGAAAUGCGUAGAGAUGUGGAGGAAUACCGAUGGCGAAGGCAGCCCCCUGGGCCAAAUACUGACGCUCAUGCACGAAAAGCGUGGGGG